GUGAGAGAAACCAACAUGGUCUAGCAUUCAUUCCUUUCCUGGCAUUUGUAGAGAUUGAUUCUGGAGAUCCCUGCCUUGGUUUGGAGGAGACUUUUCCCCUGGAUUCAACAUCAGCUUGCUGCAUUGGUGGAAUUCUGGCUGAAGACACAACUAGAACUUCUGGGAGAAUGAUCUUUGGACUGGGAAACCUGGAACAAAAUAAAGAAAUAAAAAAUGAUAGAGAACAGAAAUUCAAGAAAAAUGAGGAUAUGAUCAGAUAGUUGGUGGAUUUAGACUACAACCUAAAACAUUAAAAAAAUUAAUGAAUGAUAUUAAUGAUAUUUCUUUUUCAUUGCCA
rnacentral:lncRNA from 1 species